rnacentral:rRNA from 1 species
GGAUUAGAUACCCUGGUAGUCCACGCCGUAAACGAUGUCUACUAGUUGUCGGGACUCUUGCAGUCUUGGUAACGCAGCUAACGCGAUAAGUAGACCGCCUGGGGAGUACGGCCGCAAGGUUAAAACUCAAAUGAAUUGACGGGGGCCCGCACAAGCGGUGGAGCAUGUGGUUUAAUUCGAAGCAACGCGAAGAACCUUACCUGGCCUUGACAUCCUGCGAACUUUCUAGAGAUAGAUUGGUGCCUUCGGGAGCGCAGAGACAGGUGCUGCAUGGCUGUCGUCAGCUGCUGUCU